UGGGGAAUAUUGCACAAUGGAGGGAACUCUGAUGCAGCGACGCCGCGUGAGUGAUGAAGGAAUUCGUUUCGUAAAACUCCGUUCUAUGGGAAGAAAAGGACUGUACCAUAGGAGAAAGCUCCGGCUAAAUACGUGCCAGCAGCCGCGGUAAUACGUAUGGAGCGAGCGUUGUCCGGAAUUAUUGGGCGUAAAGGGUGCGCAGGCGGCUUUACAAGUUGGAUGUGAAAUAUUGUGGCUCAACCACAAACGUGCAUCCAAAACUGCAAAGCUUGAGUUAAGGAGAGGUAAGUGGAAUUCCUGGUGUAGCGGUGGAAUGCGUAGAUAUCAGGAGGAAUACCGGUGGCGAAGGCGACUUACUGGACUUAAACUGACGCUCAGGCACGAAAGCGUGGGGAGCAAACAGG
rnacentral:rRNA from 1 species